GGGGUUGUAGCUCAGUUGGAAGAGCACCUGCCUUGCAAGCAGGGGGUAGUGGGUUCGAAUCCCAUCAGCUCCA
rnacentral:tRNA from 1 species